CGGGAGCCGGGAGCCUUUCCCGGGACUCAGCGGCACCGAGCGACCUCGGCUGGAUCAGGACGCAGCACCCCCGAAGCGGCCCCGAGGCACCUGCGAAGCGCGGCCCUCGGCCCCGGCUGGAAACCGUGUCGUGUUGGAAUUCCCGUUCCCGCAGGUGGAAACGGAAUAACAGAGAAUACAUAAAAAUGGAUUCCACAAGUAAUAAGAACCCAAAUAAUUCACACACAAGGUCCAUCCAAACAGUCCUCACCACUGGAAACUUUGGCUCUGGAGCACUAAGAGAGCUAGGGUUGAUUCAAAUACAGCUUCAUUCCUAUCACUGAAGGAAGUAAGAAAAGACGACCACCAGAAAAUAAAGGGGGACCAUAAUAACA
rnacentral:lncRNA from 1 species